rnacentral:rRNA from 1 species
UUUUAAGAAAUUAAUAACUCCAUUAAAAUUUAUUAAUCUCUUUUGUGGUGGCACAAAAUCGGAAGCCCCGACUGUUUACUAAAAACACAGCUAUCUGCAACGAUGUAAAUCUUAGUAUAGGUAGUGAGGUUUGCCCGAUGCCAUUAAUAUAAGAGAAGUGAUGGGUAACUGUUAAUUAUCGAAAAUCUGGUUAAUAGCGGUCUUAACUAUGAGGAUCCUAAGGUAGCAAAAUAAAUUGGCCAUUAAAUGUGGUCCGGUAUCAAUAAUAUUUUUUCCCAGUUUUUUAUUAGAAACGAAUCUAUAUAAAAAUAUAUAAAUAUUUAAUUUUUAAUAGCUG